CAAUAACAUCAGCUUUCUUAUGAUGCAAUGAAUUUCUGUGGCUGGUAAUUUUCCGGAGGCUCUUCUGUCUUCUUAUGGAACGGAGUGUGUAGGAUGAGACAGAUAGUUCUGCUCCUGAACUUGCUGUAACCAACGGGUGAGACCAGCUCUGGUGCAGCUGAGAUAAGCAGGGUUACUUCUUACUUUGCUAGAUGACCACCCUAAGGGCGCCAAUAUAAACACCAUGCUGUGAAACAUUUUCCUCCAACACCCAACCUUCACUCAACUUAUGGUUUUGCCGCACAUACUGUCCUGUGGAUGUUUGAGGAGCAGGCAGCACAUCAUCCACCGGCGGUGGUUGACUGAGGAAGAGGCCGCUAGAUUUACAGGUCCACUCUACCUUUUCAAGCAGCCUGAUGUUGCUGCUGACAGACUCUUGACUUUCUCUAAGUGAGAGUGAGUUGUUGCUUAUCCUCCAGACUCCAACUAUGAACUAAAGGCUUUGCUCUUUCUGCCUCUUUCAUCACCUCUGCUUCAGUUCAUUCCAACUAAGGCCAAAGCCAUGUCAUUGUUUUUAUUUUUCAUCUCAUAGAUUUAUAAGGUAAAUAAUAAAAACUGAAUUAAUUAAUAACUCUAAAAUAAAAACAAAGUGUU